CAUCGAGUCUAGUGUAGUAAACAUGAUAUGGUUCUUGGGAUAGUAGAGGUCCCGACAUCUAUGAUGCAUUGUAUAUUGUGCAGCAGAGGCACAUUGACCCUUGUAGGUAGGGUAUCCUCUUGUGGGAAUUGGAUCAUAUUCACUAGUCUGUUUUGCUUGUCGGUGGUCGCUCCACCGAGGCACGAGUCUCCGGAGUACUUCACUAGGGGCAGACGUAGUUGUCCCGCAGACGGUCUCGGUGUGCGAGUGCAGCUUCUCCUCACCUAUGAGAUUGAGAGUGAGUCGAGGGUUUAACCUACGGGUUAGCCAAGUAGAUUGG
rnacentral:lncRNA from 1 species